CCUACGGGGGGCAGCAGUGAGGAAUAUUGGUCAAUGGACGCAAGUCUGAACCAGCCAAGUAGCGUGCAGGAUGACGGCCCUCCGGGUUGUAAACUGCUUUUAGUUGGGAAUAAAAGGGGGCUCGUGAGCCCCGUAUUGUAUGUACCAUCAGAAUAAGCCACGGCUAACUACGUGCCAGCAGCCGCGGUAAUACGUAGGUGGCAAGCGUUAUCCGGAUUUACUGGGUGUAAAGGGCGUGUAGGCGGGAAAGCAAGUCAGAUGUGAAAGCCAUGGGCUCAACCUGUGGCCUGCAUUUGAAACUGUUUUUCUUGAGUACUGGAGCGGCAGACGAAAUCCCUAGGGAAGCGGGGAAAGGCGUAGAUAUUAGGAGGAACACCAGGGGCGAGGGCGGUCUGCGGGACAGCAACUGACGCGGAGGUGCGAAAGCGUGGGGAGAAAACAGGAUGAGAUACCCUAGUAGUC
rnacentral:rRNA from 1 species